UGCCCGGUAGCCAAGUGGUAAGGCAGUGGACUCUGAAUCCACCAUCGUAGGUUCGAAUCCUACCCGGGCAGCCA
rnacentral:tRNA from 1 species